rnacentral:rRNA from 1 species
AUUCCAGCUCCAAUAGCGUAUAUUAAAGUUGUUGCGGUUAAAAAGCUCGUAGUUGGAUUUCUGCUGAGGACGACCGGUCCGCCCUCUGGGUGAGUAUCUGGCUCGGCCUUGGCAUCUUCUUGGGGAACGUAACUGCACUUGACUGUGUGGUGCGGUAUCCAGGACUUUUACUUUGAGGAAAUUAGAGUGUUUCAAGCAGGCUUACGCCUUGAAUACAUUAGCAUGGAAUAAUAAGAUAGGACUUUGGUGGUUUAUUUUGUUGGUUUGCACGCCGAAGUAAUGAUUAAUAGGAGCAGUUGGGGAUGUCCGUAUUCGAUUGUCAGAGGUGAAAUUCUUGGAUUUAUUGAAGACGAACUACUGCGAAAGCAUUCAUCAGGGAUGUUUUCAUCA